rnacentral:rRNA from 1 species
GAUGAACGCUAGCUACAGGCUUAACACAUGCAAGUCGAGGGGAAACGAUAUUGGAAGCUUGCUUCCGAUAGGCGUCGACCGGCGCACGGGUGAGUAACGCGUAUCCAACCUGCCCAUCACUUGGGGAUAACCUUGCGAAAGUAAGACUAAUACCCAAUGACGUCUCUAGAAGACAUCUGAAAGAGAUUAAAGAUUUAUCGGUGAUGGAUGGGGAUGCGUCUGAUUAGCUUGUUGGCGGGGUAACGGCCCACCAAGGCGACGAUCAGUAGGGGUUCUGAGAGGAAGGUCCCCCACAUUGGAACUGAGACACGGUCCAAACUCCUACGGGAGGCAGCAGUGAGGAAUAUUGGUCAAUGGACGAGAGUCUGAACCAGCCAAGUAGCGUGCAGGAUGACGGCCCUAUGGGUUGUAAACUGCUUUUAUAAGGGAAUAAAGUGAGUCUCGUGAGACUUUUUGCAUGUACCUUAUGAAUAAGGACCGGCUAAUUCCGUGCCAGCAGCC